rnacentral:rRNA from 1 species
CCUACGGGUGGCAGCAGUGAGGAAUAUUGGUCAAUGGGCUUACGCCUGAACCAGCCAAGUCGCGUGAGGGAAGACUGCCCUAUGGGUUGUAAACCUCUUUUGUCAGGGAGCAAUUGGCGCUACGUGUAGCGUUAUCGAGAGUACCUGAAGAAAAAGCAUCGGCUAACUCCGUGCCAGCAGCCGCGGUAAUACGGAGGAUGCGAGCGUUAUCCGGAUUUAUUGGGUUUAAAGGGAGCGUAGGUGGAUUGUUAAGUCAGUUGUGAAAGUUUGCGGCUCAACCGUAAAAUUGCAGUUGAAACUGGCAGUCUUGAGUACAGUAGAGGUGGGCGGAAUUCGUGGUGUAGCGGUGAAAUGCUUAGAUAUCACGAAGAACUCCGAUUGCGAAGGCAGCUCACUGGACUGCAACUGACACUGAUGCUCGAAAGUGUGGGUAUCAAACAGGAUUAGAUACCCCUGUAGUC